rnacentral:rRNA from 1 species
AUUGAACGCUGGCGGCAGGCCUAACACAUGCAAGUCGAGCGAGCGGCGGACGGGUGAGUAAUGUAUGGGGAUCUGCCCGAUAGAGGGGGAUAACUACUGGAAACGGUGGAUAAUACCGCAUACUCUGGGAUGAACCCAUAUGGGAUGAGCUAGUGGGUGGGGUAAGGGCUCACCUAGCGACGACCUCUAGCUGGUCUGAGAGGAUGAUCAGCCACACUGGGACUGAGACACGGCCCAGACUCCUACGGGAGGCAGCAGUGGGGAAUAUUGCACAAUGGGGGCAACCCUGACGCAGCCAUGCCGCGUGAAUGAAGAAGGCCUUCGGGUUGUAAAGUUCUUUCGGUAGCGAGGCGUUAACUACAGAAGAAGCACCGGCUAACUCCGUGCCAGAAGCCGCGGUAAUAC